GAGAGAAACUCCGUGAUGAAGCUGGAACUCUUUCCAAACACAGGAAACAGAUCAGGGAGCAGAGACCCACGUGGUUCACGCUGAUCUCAGCUACGAUCCAGGAGACAAGGGUGGGCAGAUCGAUGCAGAUAUCAAUCCAAACGUUGGUACUACUUUAUUCUCUUCGGAUGGAAGAGGAUAUCCAUCCGACGCCUCCACCAUUGACUGUAGAAAACAUGGACGACGCGACUCCGCCUCCUACCAUUGUGCAAAAAUGAAGCCAAAAUAUCCCGCCAGAGUCUGCGCAGUAGUGACUUGAGGUGGAGCGACUGUGUAACUCUCGGCCCACACACCAGCUGGACAUGACCGCAAACACGCCCCCCUACACUUUUUACGUAGCCCGGCUGCUCGAGGUUUUUUGCUGGUUUACCGCGACUGACGACUCGUUUAAUUAAGCUACAUUCACCCUGGAGAGAAACUAGUGAGGGAGACCAUCAGGACCAAGCUGGGUUUCCUGGGUCCAGAGGUUUGGAGAAACUUCUUCCUUUUCUUUCAUCACAGCUGUCCUGUGCCAGAUGUUCUGUUGACCGACUGAGAGAGACUUCAUUUAAGAAACGCCAGGAAGACUGAAGCUCAUCGCAUUGAUCAAACAGGA